rnacentral:rRNA from 1 species
UACGUAGGAGGCAAGCGUUGUCCGGAAUUACUGGGCGUAAAGCGCGUGUAGGUGGUGGGACAAGUCUGCUGUGAAAGCGCCUGGCUUAACCGGGCGAGGUCGGCGGAAACUGCCUCACUUGAGGACGGUAGAGGGGGGUGGAAUUCCCGGUGUAGUGGUGAAAUGCGUAGAGAUCGGGAGGAACACCUGUGGCGAAGGCGGCCGACUGGACGAUAACUGACGCUGAGACGCGAAAGCGUGGGUAGCAAACAGG